ACGGAAGGCAGCAGUCGGGAAUAUUGCACAAUGGAGGAAACUCUGAUGCAGUGACGCCGCGUAUAGGAAGAAGGUUUUCGGAUUGUAAACUAUUUUAGACAGGGAAGAUAAAAGACGGUACCUGUAGAAUAAGCCCCGGCUAACUAUGUGCCAGCAGCCGCGGUAAUACAUAGGGGGCAAGCGUUAUCCGGAAUUAUUGGGCGUAAAGGGUGCGUAGACGGGAAUUUAAGUUAGUUGUGAAAUCCCUCGGCUCAACUGAGGAACUGCAACUAAAACUGGAUUUCUUGAGUGCAGGAGAGGAAAGCGGAAUUCCUAGUGUAGCGGUGAAAUGCGUAGAUAUUAGGAGGAACACCAGUGGCGAAGGCGGCUUUCUGGACUGUAACUGACGUUGAGGCACGAAAGUGUGGGGAGCAAACAGGAUUAGAUACCCUGGUA
rnacentral:rRNA from 1 species